ACGCUGGCGGCGUGCUUAACACAUGCAAGUCGAGCGAUGAAGCUUCUUCGGAAGUGGAUUAGCGGCGGACGGGUGAGUAACACGUGGGUAACCUGCCUCAUAGAGGGGAAUAGCCUUCCGAAAGGAAGAUUAAUACCGCAUAAGAUUGUAAUAUCGCAUGAUAUAGCAAUUAAAGGAGCAAUCCACUAUGAGAUGGACCCGCGUCGCAUUAGCUAGUUGGUGAGGUAACGGCUCACCAAGGCGACGAUGCGUAGCCGACCUGAGAGGGUGAUCGGCCACAUUGGGACUGAGACACGGCCCAGACUCCUACGGGAGGCAGCAGUGGGGAAUAUUGCACAAUGGGGGAAACCCUGAUGCAGCAAACCGCCGCGUGAGUGAUGACGGUCUUCGGAUUGUAAAGCUCUGUCUUCAGGGACGAUAAUGACGGUACCUGAGGAGGAAGCCACGGCUAACUACGUGCCAGCAGCAGC
rnacentral:rRNA from 1 species